AUGCACGCUGGCGGCGUGCCUCAUACCUGCAAGUCGCGCGAACAGACGAGGAGCUUGCUCCUCUGACGUUAGCGGCGGACGGGUGAGUAACACGUGGAUAACCUACCUAUAAGACUGGGAUAACUUCGGGAAACCGGAGCUAAUACCGGAUAAUAUAUUGAACCGCAUGGUUCAAUAGUGAAAGACGGUUUUGCUGUCACUUAUAGAUGGAUCCGCGCCGCAUUAGCUAGUUGGUAAGGUAACGGCUUACCAAGGCAACGAUGCGUAGCCGACCUGAGAGGGUGAUCGGCCACACUGGAACUGAGACACGGUCCAGACUCCUACGGGAGGCAGCAGUAGGGAAUCUUCCGCAAUGGGCGAAAGCUUGACGGAGCAACGCCGCGUGAGUGAUGAAGGUCUUCGGAUCGUAAAACUCUGUUAUUAGGGAAGAACAAAUGUGUAAGUAACUAUGCACGUCUUGACGGUACCUAAUCAGAAAGCCACGGCUAACUACGUG
rnacentral:rRNA from 1 species